GCAGCCGUGGCCCACUGGUUAGGGCUUCGGGCUUAGAACCCAAGGUUGCCGGUUUGAUCUCCGACCAGUAGGA
rnacentral:tRNA from 1 species